AAAAGAACUUGCAGGGGCACCUCUGGGUCCUGAGAAGUGUCUGUUGAGUGCUGAGUCAUAGGGUUGGGGCACAUCCAGAGGUCCGAGGUCAGGAAAGAGGUUAAAGAAGACCCGCAAGUAUGAUAUCAUCACCACUCCAGCUGAGCGAGUGGAAAUGGCGCCGCUAAAUGAAGAGGAUGAUGAGGAUGAGGACUCCACAGUAUUCGACAUCAAAUACAGGUAAAACCUGUUUCCCAGCCUAUUGGCAUCCUGUGGAAAGUUGGUCAGCUGCAACCUGGGGUGUGAAGACCUGGAAGCCCUCUCGCAUCAGAGGUGUUGAAACCAAAAUGAACGUUAUGUAUAAAACCCCAGCUCCAUUGUGGGUGUCAGGCGUCUGCUCAGAGUGUCACUGGCAAGCUCGUUUCCACAUCACCACAACGGAGUUGCUUCUGCCACCCUUUGGGCGCCCCUUUAAAGUGUCCCCCACUUCUACUCCCCGUGUAAGAGGCUUUGUGCCUUGCUACGGAGGAAAGGGUAGAAACAUGUUGAUUUUAAAAAAGUUUUUUUAAGGCAAUUGUUGACAAUAGUAAAAGAGAUCAGGAGGAUCAAGAAUCUAAAACAAGCCUGAAGGAUGUCCAACUGUGUAUUUAGAAUUUCUGACAUUCUUCUCUACUGGAUCUACACAUUGGACCCCGUCUGAUCCUUUGCUUUUUUUUUUGGCUUGGUCAGGUCCUGGCCUCAUUUUGGCAUUACC